UGUUUCCCGAUUUUAGAGGAGUUAGUGGUUUAUUUUAGUUGCUGUUUCAUUAGCAUUAAAAAUAGGCUGUUGGUAGUGAGAUGUUAUUCGUUUUUAGUGGUUUCUGGUUUUUCAAGAAAUGAAUUUAAUUCAUGCGUCUUGUUUAGAUUUUUGUUGUUAUUGUUUAUUCGUCUUUAUUGGAUGUUAAGAUUAAGGGGGAUUAGCUCCUUGUUUUAUUUUUAUAAUUUUUGUGUUAUAUUUAGUUUUGUGGAUUUUAUAGUGAUUUUCAAUUUGAUUAUGUUAAAAUUUUAUUGUAUUUCUUUUGUUAUUUUGGUUUAUUUAAUUGUUUAUUGAAAUGUUUUCUUUAUUUUUUAUUGGAUUGUAAUUAUUGUGGGAUUAGUAAAUUUGUUUGUUGUUUUGUUUGUAUUUGUGUUUAAUUUCUUUUGAGGAAUUAGGCAAAGAUUUGUGUCCGCCUGUUUAACAAAAACAUCUUUUCUUGUUAGUUUUUGAAGUAUGGCCUGCCCGCUGACAUUGAGUUGAAGGGCCGCGGUAUUUUGACCGUGCAAAGGUAGCAUAAUCAUUAGUUCUUUAAUUGUGAUCUGGAAUGAAUGGCUUGACGAGGCACGAGCUGUCUUAGUGUUGAAUAUUUUAUUGAAUUUGGUCUUUGAGUUAAAAUUCUUAAAUGUUUUUGUGGGACGAGAAGACCCUAUAGAGUUUGACAUUUGGCUUAUUUAUUUGUUGGUUGUUUGUUUGUUUUGUUGGUGAAUGGGCUUUUUGUUUUGUUGGGGUGAUGAGAGGAAUGUAUUUAACUCUUCUUUGUUUUGGUUAUAUUUAUUUAUAGUUGUUUGAU
rnacentral:rRNA from 1 species